CAGCCUCAGUGCCUGCUCUGAAGACUCAGGGUCUCGGGAGGCUCAGCACACUUGCCUGUGUAUGGAAGCACUGUCCCCGUGUGUGUGGGACAUACCCACAAAUCACCAGGGCCUACAGAAACUGUGCAGGGGCUGCAGGAGGCAGGCCAACCCCUCGGGGUCCCCAAUCAGACCAUUCCUGCAGGCUGCCAGCUGUCCCUUCCCGGCCAUUGGUGACCACCGUCCACUUCUGCUGGCCUGGCCUGUAGGAGCUGCCAUCCACUGGCCCUGCCUCCCCCGGAGCUGCCGGGGCCCAGUCCCUCAGCAGCCGGACAGAUCAUGAGGUUUCUGGGUGGACAUCAAUUUUCAACCCUUGGAAAAAUACCGUGGAGCUCAGUGGCUGGAUGGUGUGUCAGGAGUGUGCCCAAGAAACACUUGCCAUCUACUGAUCUGAGAGGGACCCUCAUCUAGGAUAGGUAACUAGCGCCCAUGAAGGUAAGAAAGUCAGUCCAUGAGAAAAGGAUGGGCAAAGACUGGACAAGGCACUACCCAAAAAGAUGCCCAAGUGGGACUAAGCACCUGAAUAGGUGCCCCACAUCACUGUUCCGAAGGAAGACGAAGUCAGAACCACCCGGCAUCCCAGGACACACCAAAGUGGGGCAAGUCAGAGCCCCCAGCGGGACCAGUGUGUGUGCAGGUGGGGCAGCGGGAGCCCUCUGCAUGGCCGGGCAGGCCGGCUCUGUGAGUGCCGUGGGAGGACUUGCUGAGGAUGGACACACACACCCUCUGUGAGCCGACACGCCCUCCACGAGGGAUGCGCCCGGCACGCGGCACCCAUGUUUGCAAGGGGUGUUCAGAGCAGGGCUGCUGCGCCUGUCACCAAACUGGAAGCGACUCUGCAUCAGCCAUGGGGUGGAUAAAGAGCAGAUGACAUUGUGUGUGUACAUAUGGAUAUAUGUCAUUGUUAUACGUGCUCAAAUAAUGUACAUGAGUCUACAAGCAUAAUGAAGGAAUCUGACGUGAAAGAAGACAUUUGGGGUGGUUCUAUUUAAAUAAAGU